rnacentral:siRNA from 1 species
CGGAAAGCCCAAAGACAGCCCUCC